CCCCCCCCCACGGGCUGCAUGUAUAAUGUCUUCUUGCACACAUGUGAGCGCUGGGGGGGAACAGAGCUCUCUCUAUAGACCACCAGGCAUAUGCUGACAAGGCCUGGAUGUGCCAGUCUGUCUGUGGGUCCUUCAAGCCCAGCUAAUACACACAGAGUGCAGGCAAACAAUGGAGGUCAGCGGUGGAUAAAGAAGGCAGUCUAGAGGCCUGACGUCUGGGAAGCUCACAGACACAGGCGUGUUUAACCCUUUCUGGGAAUGAAUGGGCUCAGAGCCUGAUGGUGGAGUGUGAAUGGUGUCAGGUCCAACGUGUGUGACGUCAACACCGCGUGAAGAAUGAGGGUGACAGAGAGGGUUAAAGUCAUAAAUAAUGGAGUCAGCAUCUGUGUAACUCACACCCGGAGAAAACCCCACCACAGCACCACUCCACCGAAGGCUGGACUUCAUGUUUUAAUUCAGAAACCGCUGGAAGGCGUCCAAAAGCAGGUCCACAGACCUCGCAGUGUGUCAGCGAUUCAGCGCUGAAACCCCUGUAAAUCUGUCCCGGGGCCGGCGUGAAAGACGGGCGUCCGCCAGCACCUUCAACAUCUCCAGCAAGCACCUGCAUCAACUACAGCCUUUAAAUCUCCCGUCUGAACCCAUCACACACCCCAAACACUGCCAGGAUCUCACGGCCUGGAAGAGAGCCGCAGAAUCUGGACAGCGGCCAAACGUAAUAUUUCUCAAAGCGUUCCCGCUCUCUUUAAUGCAGCGUUGUGUGAUUAGGGAGGUUUUGCAGCACUUAACGUUGAUAUCUUAUUCUGCAUAUCUUUCCAGGCUGAGAGAGAGCGUGAAUUUGUGUUUGUAUUGCAUGAAUGAAGGCCUGAUAUUAAUAUUUCACCUUAAAAAGACUCGCAGCUAAAAUAACUUCAACGAGGCUCUUGAAACACGGUUGAUUAAAGCGUGUGAGAUGAAAGAUGAUAACUGGAGAUGAACAGAAAGGGUUUGUCUGCUAUUUUAGGUGAAGUGGUCAAAAACAUGCCACAUUUCAACUCGAAAUCAACUUAAAUAAAAAAUUAUAUUUCUUUAAGCCCAUGAAAUGAAGAAGGUUGAGAUGUUUCCAAUUAUGAGAUAAAUUUAAUGAUAAUUAAUAUAUAUAUAUAUAUAUAUAUAUAUAUAUA